rnacentral:rRNA from 1 species
AUUGAACGCUGGCGGCAUGCUUUACACAUGCAGGUCGAACGGCAGCGCGGGCUUCGGCCUGGCGGCGAGUGGCGAACGGGUGAGUAAUACAUCGGAACGUGCCCAGUAGUGGGGGAUAGCUCGGCGAAAGCCGGAUUAAUACCGCAUACGACCUGAGGGUGAAAGCGGGGGAUCUUCGGACCUCGCGCUAUUGGAGCGGCCGAUGGCAGAUUAGCUAGUUGGUGGGGUAAAGGCCUACCAAGGCGACGAUCUGUAGCUGGUCUGAGAGGACGACCAGCCACCGUGGGAGGAGGAAAGGCCCAAGCCCCCGCGGGGGGCAGCGAGGGGGGAUUUUGGGAGAAGGGGGAAAGGCUUAACCCAGCAUGCCGGGUUGUGGAAGAAGGCCUUUGGGUUUGAAAAGAAUUUUGGGGGGAAACAAAAAGGACUGGCCAAAUACCCCGGUCGGAUGAGGGUACCCGAAAAAUAAGCACCGGCAAACUCGGUG